rnacentral:lncRNA from 1 species
UCCGAAUGAAACAUGUUUUCCAGACCUUCCUUCUGAUUCACAAUUGAUUGAAGUUGUAGAAAUUGUGUUGCAAAUUGGGUUACACCAGGACGAACAAUCUCUCUACCUCCAAUAUAUUUUUUCAUGAGACUCACAAUAUACGUAUGGUUGUAGAUGAAUGUUGUCACCANNNNNNNCUUCACUUAAUAACUUUUGUAUAUUUUUUUUCUUCCCUAUAUCCUCUAAGCAAAGAUCUAAACAAUGAGCCGCACAAGAAGACCAAUACAAAUGUGGCCUCUUUUCCAUUAGUUUGUGACCGGUUGCUUUUAGUGCAGCUUCAUUGUCUGUAACCACCUGAACAACAC